UUAUGGCUCAGGACGAACGCUGGCGGCGUGCUUAACACAUGCAAGUCGAACGGGGAUAUGUUGCGGAAGGGCUUCGGCCUGGAAGGGAUGUAUUCGAGUGGCGGACGGGUGAGUAACGCGUGAGCAACCUGUCCCAGACAGGGGAAUAACACUUGGAAACAGGUGCUAAUACCGCAUAAGACCACAGCAUCGCAUGAUGCAGGGGUAAAAGGAGCAAUCCGGUUUGGGGUGGGCUCGCGUCCGAUUAGAUAGUUGGUGAGGUAACGGCCCACCAAGUCGACGAUCGGUAGCCGACCUGAGAGGGUGAUCGGCCACAUUGGAACUGAGAGACGGUCCAAACUCCUACGGGAGGCAGCAGUGGGGAAUAUUGGGCAAUGGGCGCAAGCCCUGACCCAGCAACGCCGCGUGAGUGAAGAAGGCUUUCGGGUUGUAAAGCUCUGUUAUAGGGGACGAAGGAAGUGACGGUACCCUAUAAGGAAGCCCCGGCUAACUACGUGCCAGCCGCAGC
rnacentral:rRNA from 1 species